rnacentral:rRNA from 1 species
AGUGGCGGACGGGUGAGUAAUGCGUGGGAAUCUGCCCAGUAGUUGGGAACAACUUCCGGAAACGGGAGCUAAUACCGAAUACGCCCUACGGGGGAAAGGCUUCGGCCGCUAUUGGAUGAGCCCGCGUAAGAUUAGCUUGUUGGUGGGGUAAUGGCCUACCAAGGCGACGAUCUUUAGCUGGUCUGAGAGGACGAUCAGCCACACUGGGACUGAGACACGGCCCAGACUCCUACGGGAGGCAGCAGUGGGGAAUAUUGGACAAUGGGGGAAACCCUGAUCCAGCAAUGCCGCGUGUGUGAAGAAGGCCUGCGGGUUGUAAAGCACUUUCAGUAGGGAAGAAAUCAAUGACGGUACCUACAAAAGAAGCACCGGCUAACUCCGUGCCAGCAGCCGCGGUAAUACGGAGGGUGCGAGCGUUAAUCGGAAUUACUGGGCGUAAAGCGUACGUAGGUGGUUUGGUAAGUCGGAUGUGAAAUCCCCGGGCUCAACCUGGGAAUUGCAUUCGAAACUGCUUUACUAGAGUCUAGCAGAGGGAUGGGGAAUUCCGGGUGUAGCGGUGAAAUGCGUAGAGAUCCGGAGGAACAUCAGUGGCGAAGGCGCCAUCCUGGGCUAAGACUGA